GUAGGUGAACCUGCGGAAGGAUCAUUAAUGAAACUUCAAAGUCGGCCAAAGGUUGUUGCUGGUGAUUAUUCACAUGUGCACGCCUUUGGUCGCAAAUCCACACACACCUGUGCAUCUAUGACUCGAGGUUGUAAUGACUGAGAGUAACUUUUAUACACUCUUGUAUGUAAUGGAAUGUCUUUUUGUGCUAUAAUGUACAAUAUAAACAACUUUCAACAACGGAUCUCUUGGCUCUCGCAUCGAUGAAGAACGCAGCGAAAUGCGAUAAGUAAUGUGAAUUGCAGAAUUCAGUGAAUCAUCGAAUCUUUGRACGCACCUUGCACCCUUUGGUAUUCCGAAGGGUACGCCCGUUUGAGUGUCAUUGUAAUCUCACUUCUACAACUUUAUUGUUGUUUGAAUGUGGACUUGGAUGUUGCCGUUUUAUCACGGCUCGUCUUAAAUGCCUGAGUGUACCCUGUUUUGCAGCGUAUCCAGUGUAAUAAACAUUUCACUAGAGUUGGUCGAAGGACCACGUUGACUAUAUGGGCUCUAUGCUUCAAACCGUCUGCCAUGUGGACAAUUUCUUGACAAUUUGACCUCAAAUCGGGUGGGACUACCCGCUGAACUUAAGCAUAUCAAUAAGCGGAGGAAAAGAAACUAACAAGGAUUCCCCUAGUAACGGCGAGUGAAGAGGGAAAAGCUCAAAUUUUAAAUCUGGUGUCUUUGACUCCCGAGUUGUAAUCUAGAGAAGUGUUUUCCGUGUCGGACCGUGUACAAGUUCCCUGGAACGGGGCGUCAUAGAGGGUGAGAAUCCCGUAUAUGCCACGGACUACCGAUGCUCUGUGAUACACUCUCAACGAGUCGAGUUGUUUGGGAAUGCAGCUCAAAAUGGGUGGUAAAUUCCAUCUAAAGCUAAAUAUUGGCGAGAGACCGAUAGCGAACAAGUACCGUGAGGGAAAGAUGAAAAGCACUUUGGAAAGAGAGUGAAACAGUACGUGAAAUUGUUGAAAGGGAAGCGUUUGAAGUCAGUCGCAUCUGUUGGGGUUCAGCCUGGCUUUUGCCUGGUGUAUUUCCUUUCCGAUGGGUCAGCAUCAGUUUCGACCGAGGGAAAAAGACAUUUGGAAUGUGGCUGUCUUCGGGCAGUGUUAUAGCCUUGUGUUGUAUGUCUCGGUUGGGACUGAGGAUUGCAGCGCGCC
rnacentral:rRNA from 1 species